rnacentral:tRNA from 1 species
AGAGCAGUGGCGCAGUGGGUUAACGCCCUGGCCUGAUGUGCCAGCAUCCCACAUGGGCACCGGUUCUAGUCCUGGCUGCUCCU